GCAUAUCAAUAAGCGGAGGAAAAGAAAAUAACAAUGAUUUCCCUAGUAACGGCGAGUGAAGAGGAAAGAGCUCAAAGUUGGAAACUGUUUGGCUUAGCUAAACCGUAUUGUAAACUGUAGAAACAUUUUCCUGGCACACCAGAUUAAUAAGUCCUUUGGAACAAGGCAUCAUGGAGGGUGAGAAUCCCGUCUUUGAUCUGAGUAGUUGUCUUUUGUGAUAUGUUUUCAAAGAGUCAGGUUGUUUGGGAAUGCAGCCUAAAUUGGGUGGUAAAUCUCACCUAAAGCUAAAUAUUUGCGAGAGACCGAUAGCGAACAAGUACCGUGAGGGAAAGAUGAAAAGAACUUUGAAAAGAGAGUUAAACAGUAUGUGAAAUUGUUAAAAGGGAACCGUUUGGAGCCAGACUGGUUUGCUUGUAAUCAACCUAGAAUUCGUUUUGGGUGCACUUGCAGGCUAUACCUGCCAACAACAGUUUGAUUUGGAGGAAAAAAUUAAUAGGAAUGUAGCCUCUCGAGGUGUUAUAGCCUAUUAUCAUACUCUGGAUUGGACUGAGGAACGCAGCGAAUGCCUUUAGGCAAGAUUGCUGGGUGCUUUCGCUAAUAAAUGUUAGAAUUUCUGCUUCGGGUGGUGCUAAUGUUUAAAGGAGGAACACAUCUAGUAUAUUUUUUAUUCGCUUAGGUUGUUGGCUUAAUGACUCUAAAUGACCCGUCUUGAAACACGGACCAAGGAGUCCACCAUAAGUGCAAGUAUUUGAGUGACAAACUCAUAUGCGUAAGGAAACUGAUUGAUACGAAGUCUUUUGAUGGCAGUAUCACCCGGCGUCGACGUUUUAACUGAAAUGACCGAGGUAAAGCACUUAUGAUGGGACCCGAAAGAUGGUGAACUAUGCCUUGAAUAGGGUGAAGCCAGAGGAAACUCUGGUGGAGGCUCGUAGCGAUUUCUGACGUGCAAAUCGAUCGUCAAAUUUGGGUAUAGGGGCGAAAGAACUAAUCGAACCUUCUAGUAGCUGGUUCCUGCCAAA
rnacentral:rRNA from 1 species